CCAUUAUUUUUACCCUAAUACCCCUACAUAACCGACCUCUCUUUCAUACUUUCUCAUCACCUAAAAAUUCAUUCAACACCAAUAUCUCAUCCCUGAUUCAUUCGGCACCUUCUAGUUUUUGGUGGAUCAACAAAGGAAUGGAUUUGAACAAUGAAAAUGCGAAAAGUGAGGUUAAAUCUACAAAGAUUGCUGCUCGAAAAACUGUUUGGGAUUCUAGUACCCAUAUAAUAUUUGUUGAGUUGUGUCUUGAAGAACUAAAAAACGGCAAUAGACCUGGGAGCCACUUUAAUAAGGUUGGGUUAAUAGCGACGAGGAUGGAGAUAACAAACCAUGAUAAAAAUGUGAGUUCUGAUAGCGACGAGGACAACAGUGACUCGGAAGAGAAAGACUGGUUAAUGGAUGAGAGCCAAUUUUUGCUAUUAUGUGGUUUAGUUGUCGAAGGGUUAAUAGUAGGACAUAAUAAGAUGAAUGUCCAGCGUAUCCCUUGUCGCACUUCCUGUCGUACAGGAAACAUUUUUAUUUAAGAAGUACUUAAUGGCCAUCCAAGACGUUGUUAUGAAGACUUCAGAUUACAUGUGGAUGUUUUCAAGAACUUAUGUUCUGAUCUUAGUAUGCAUUAUAGCUUAACAGGGACACGUAAUGUAUCAAUUGAAGAGUCUGUUGGUAUUUUUUUGAUGAUAUUAGCACAUGGAUGUGGAAAUAGACUAGCUCAAGAAACUUUCAAUCAUUCGAGAGAAACUAUACAUAGACAUUUCCAUCGUGUUUUAAAAGCGGUGCUUAAGCUUAGCGGGGACAUCAUUAGGCCAAAUGUAAACUAAAAUAAAGAAGUACCUCCACAACUUCUGAAUAACUCUCGUUAUUACCCUAUGUUCAAGGGUUGCAUAGGAGCUAUUGAUGGGACACAUGUAAAGGCAUCGGUUUGAGAGCAUGAGCAAGCAAAAUAUAUCGGUAGAAAAGGAUAUGCAACCCAAAAUAUCAUGGCAGCUUGUGAUUUUAAUAUGUGUUUUACAUUUGCAUGGGCAGGAUGGGAAGGCACUGCACAUGACACAAGAAUCUUUUUAGAAGCAUUACGUAAGCCAGAGGUGAAAUUUCCUCGUCCAACAGGUGAUAAGUACUAUGUUGUUGAUGCUGGUUACCCAAAUACUAGAGGCUAUCUUGCUCCUUAGAAAGGAAAUGAUAUUCGUUAUCAUAUACCUGAUUUUCGCUGAGGUCAAACAUCUGCCCAACGCGCUCCGAGAGGACUAAAAGAGACAUUUAACUACUAUCACUCGUCUUUAAGAAAUGUGAUUGAACGAACAUUUGGGGUAUGGAAGGCAAGAUUGAUGCUAGGAAUUUUGGAUGUCUCUGCCUUUUCAAUGGGAAAUGUGAUUUGGUUGUAGCUAGCAUGACACGGGUGCUAGCCUGCUAGGCAUGGUUUGGAGCAAGUUGUAGAGUAGAGAGCUACUGGUGUCUAUUUGGCUAUCAAGGCAUCUGUGAGCAUGCUUUAUUUUAUUGCAUUUUUGAGAGCUACUCAAGUUUUAUGUACGAUUUUUU